CCUCCCUCGCUCUAGUUCUCCUGCUUAGCUGCUCUUUCUUCUCCAUGACCUUCUCAUGUCCUCCUCUCCCUACUCAUCCAGCUUGGAUCCCAUGAUCCAACUGAAUAGCUUCUUUGUAAAUCCUUUUAACUCACUUGCUCUCCCCCACUCCCUCCUUAUAGGAAGUCAAAUAGUGACCCCUCCUCAAAGCUAUGCUGGCUUGGAGUCUAUAGAUGUGAAUUUAUUUGGGAAAACUGAUCUCUGCAGAUGUAAUUAAGUUGAGGAACUCGAGAUGAGAUUGUCCUGGAUGAGAACAGGGCCCUACGUGCAAUGACAAGUGCUUAGAAGAGGAAAGGGGAAACAGACACAGAAAUCCAGAGAGAAGAUGGACACAGAGAUUGCAGUGAUCUGUCUAUAAGCUAAGGAUUGCCAACAGCCAUCAGGAACUAGGAGAGACGCAUAGAGCGAAUUCUCCAGAGCCUCCAAGAAGGAUUCAACUCUGCUAUCUUGUUGAUUUCAGACUUCUGGCCCCUGGAAAUUUGUUUGAAAACCAUGUAGAUACUAUAUGAGUAGAAAGUUAUCAAACCACCAUGCUGAAGAGAUUGCUGGAUUUGUGAAGCCAGUGGGGAACCAUGCAAGACCAAACAAGGAACUUAGUCUAGCUUGGGCUUUGGGCACAGCAAGGAGCUCGAUAAAUACUUGCCGAAUUCAAUUGAAAACCAUCCUGCAAGCAGAAACCUGUGAUUUGCUGUCCAGCCUGCUGAGGCAUGUUCCAGCCAUUCCCAGAAGGGGUUUUGUGUACGAUGUCCACCGGCUCAGCCUCCCAGCAUCCAGGUGUUUUGCUUGUAAAUGACUCACGGCAACAUUUGAAAAAUAUCUAAUUUUGAAGCUCUAUUGUUAAUAG